GGUCCGCUGGCGUAAUGGUAGCGCGUCUGACUACGAUAUUCGGUAAUCAGGAGGCUCCAGGUUCGAGACCUGGGCGGAUCG